UGAGUUGUGACUCAGUGGUAGAGUGCUUGCCUAGUAUGUGCGAGGCCCUGGGUUCGAUCCUCAGCACCACAU
rnacentral:tRNA from 1 species